CAACCUGUCCUUUUCGGACGCAUGUACCACAGAAGGUAUCACAGAGUCCACUGACGACUUGGCUGAGGCAAAGGACAGCUUCUACCACGCCGAUCCCCAGCAGGAUGGAGAACAAGACCACGUUCCAGAGGACGAUGUGCUCAGGCUCUUGGCAGUUAGCCCAGGACACAACACAGGUCCUGGACAUUGUACGUGAGCCCUCAUGGCCUGCUCCUGACCUGCCACCAGAGCCUCACCUCUCCUCCAUCGAGACCUCUUGACACACCACCUUAUGGGCCCCCAGGAGACACCCGGGACCUUCCUGCCUCUGGGCUUUUGAAUAUGCCCUUCACCCUUUGCCAUCAGAUAAACUCCUAUUCACCUGCAAAGGCUGAGUCACGUGGCUUGCGGAAUCUUAGUUCCCCGACCAGGGAUCAAACCCAUGGCCCCUGCAGUGGAAGUGUGGAGUCCUAACCACUGGACCACCAGGGAAUUCCCAAGCAGACUGCCUAGCAAAGUGCUGGAUCCACACCUAUCUCUUG